rnacentral:rRNA from 1 species
CCUACGGGCGGCAGCAGUGAGGAAUAUUGGUCAAUGGCCGAGAGUCUGAACCAGCCAAGUCGCGUGAGGGAAGAAUGUCCUAUGGAUUGUAAACCUCUUUUGUCAGGGAGCAAAGUCACCCACGUGUGGGUGUUGGAGAGUACCUGAAGAAAAAGCAUCGGCUAACUCCGUGCCAGCAGCCGCGGUAAUACGGAGGAUGCGAGCGUUAUCCGGAUUUAUUGGGUUUAAAGGGAGCGUAGAUGGAUUGUUAAGUCAGUUGUGAAAGUUUGCGGCUCAACCGUAAAAUUGCAAUUGAUACUGGCAGUCUUGAGUACAGUUGAGGUAGGCGGAAUUCGUGGUGUAGCGGUGAAAUGCUUAGAUAUCACGAAGAACCCCGAUUGCGAAGGCAGCUUACUAGACUGUGACUGACAUUGAUGCUCGAAAGUGUGGGUAUCAAACAGGAUUAGAUACCCUAGUAGUC